rnacentral:rRNA from 1 species
AGAGUUUGAUCAUGGCUCAGAGCGAACGCUGGCGGCGUACUUAACACAUGCAAGUCGAACGAGGAUCGUCGGUGUAGCAAUACAUUGGCGGUCCUAGUGGCGCACGGGUGAGUAACACGUGGGUGACCUGCCCUGGAGCUCGGGAUACCCCCUCGAAAGGGGGGCUAAUACCGGAUACGUUCCUCGGUCGAAAGACCGGGGAGGAAAGGUGGCGCAAGCUGCCGCUCUUGGAGGGGCUCGCGGCCUAUCAGCUAGUUGGCGGGGUAACGGCCCACCAAGGCUAUGACGGGUAGCUGGUCUGAGAGGACGACCAGCCACACGGGGACUGAGACACGGCCCCGACUCCUACGGGAGGCAGCAGUGGGGAAUUUUCCGCAAUGGGCGAAAGCCUGACGGAGUGACGCCGCGUGUGGGACGAAGGCCUUCGGGUCGUAAACCACUGUCAGUGGGAAAGAUGGGUGCCGGUGCUAAUACCAUCGGUAUCUGACGGUACCUGCAGAGGAAGCCCCGGCCAACUCUGUGCCAGCAGCCGCGGUAAGACAGAGGGGGCAAGCGUUGCUCGGAAUUACUGGGCGUAAAGGGCGCGUAGGCGGGAUGGCAAGUCGGUCGUGAAAUCCCUCGGCUCAACCGAGGAACGUCGAUCGAUACUGCUGUUCUUGAGGAUUGCAGAGGAGACUGGAAUUCCCGGUGUAGCGGUGAAAUGUGUAGAGAUCGGGAGGAACACCGGUGGCGAAGGCGGGUCUCUGGGCAAUUCCUGACGCUGAGGCGCGAAAGCGUGGGGAGCAAACGGGAUUAGAUACCCCGGUAGUCCACGCUGUAAACGAUGACGACUAGGUGUGGGGGGGUUCAGUCCCUUCCGUGCCGCAGCUAACGCAUUAAGUCGUCCGCCUGGGGAGUACGGCCGCAAGGUUGAAACUUAAAGGAAUUGACGG